GACGAACGCUGGCGGCGCGCUUAACACAUGCAAGUCGAACGGAAAGGCCUGCUUUCCCUUGUGGAUUGCGGGUACUCGAGUGGCGAACGGGUGAGUAACACGUGAGUGAUCUGCCCCCAACUUGGGUAUAAGCCUGGGAAACUGGGUCUAAUUCCCGAUAGGACUGCAGGGUGGUGCCUGUGGUGGAAAACGAUUUUCUAGUGGUUGGGGAUGAGCUCGCGGCCUAUCAGCUUGUUGGUGGGGUAAUGGCCUACCAAGGCGGCGACGGGUAGCCGGCCUGAGAGGGUGGACGGCCACAUUGGGACUGAGAUACGGCCCAGACUCCUACGGGAGGCAGCAGUGGGGAAUAUUGCACAAUGGGCGGAAGCCUGAUGCAGCGACGCCGCGUGGCGGAUGACGGCCUUCGGGUUGUAAACUCCUUUCGACCGCGAGGAAGCCACCUGGUUGGAAGGGUGGUGACGGUAGUGGUAGAAGAAGCACCGGCUAACUACGU
rnacentral:rRNA from 1 species